ensembl:lncRNA
AGGGACACCUUCCACUACCCCAGCGUGCUCCAAGCCCCAGUGUCCAACCUGGCCUUGGACACUACCAGGAUGGGGCAGCCACAGCUGCUCUGGGCACCCUGUGCCAGGGCCUGACCACAUUCAUCACCACCACACUUGGUCUGCUCAAGAACUGCAGAAUUACUCUGGUAAUACUGGAUGCUUUUCUGUCAGACACAACUGAAGGAGAAAGAGUAGCUGUCAGGGAAUCGUGACUACAUGGUGUGAAAACCCUUCAGGUCAGUUGGAAAGUGAUGCAUCACACACUUUCCACUCUGAUGCAUGAGUAAGGAAGAAUGCAAAGAUUGGUGGCAAAGUGUGGUUAGGUGGAUCAAUAAACCACAGGAUGUUUUGGAUUCUGGAGCUGUAAGGAACAGUGGGAGGCAUUGGAAAAUGUGUAUUCACCAGCACCUAGGGACUGCUCCCAUGACCGAAUGCAGGUAUGAAACUAAGGAGUAGGAAAUGGUAGCAGGAAGACUCAAACUGAAUUGGCAAUGCCACAGAAAAAGUAGGGAAAAACAGGAAAUGGGGCCACAGCACAUCCUUAAACUUGCUGUGCAGCAAAUGUUUGUCUGUGGAGUAUUUGUCCUUUACUGUGUGGGAUGCCCUAGAGUAUGACAUUCUUUCCUGCUGCUGUGCUCCUAGAUUGCUGAUAUUCUAAUUUUGAACAGCUGUCUCUAGUAAAUGGCGAUUAAGUUUUGCAUUGGCCAAGUUCAUGUUCUGACUGUAGAUAGGAGGACACACAUUGCUUCCUGUGAAGGCAUCAGAGCUCAGUCUGUGACUCAUUACAUUGAUGCUGGCCAAUGCUCAGGUUCAAUAACUGUAGGAAUUGUAUUCCCUGAAAGCUACCAGCCGUUCCAAGGAGGGAAAAACCAUGCUGAGAUGGUCUUUGGCUUUGUGUGAGGUGACUGAUUCCAAGGAGCAUUUACACCUGCCAGUCUUUGCUACUGCUACCAGUGCUCAGGUAACAGUUCAAAAGACAGGAUCUGGAAUGUUGUGACUUUUGCUGUAAUUUUAAGAGAAGAUAAUUAGAGUUGCUGCUCCUGCAUUCAGCUGGAUUCCGAACAAUAUUGAUGCAGCUGCAAAAGCCCCAGAGCUCUUGGAGUGUGGCCUGUGUGUGGUUGACUCAGCAGCUGAACUGAGGAAUUUUAUCUCUAAGAGCUCUUUACUGAAACCAAAAUAUACCAGAACAAAAAUCUCCCAGCACUUUUAAGCAGAGUCCUGGUUAAACUGCUCAGUAGUUGGUGAAUUGAGGUGACUCUACUAAUUGGAUAUUGGACAGAGGCUGAUUGAGUUCAUGUCUCAUGGCUGGAAAUCACGAACACUGAAAGCUUAAUUCACCAUCCUUUAUCACAUCACCUGUUUCAGAAAUCGUGGCCUUUGUUCAUGCAAGAAUCAAAUUCAUGUCUGAAUGGAGAGUGCUUUCAGUAGCCUGGGAUUGGGAUGAUUCUUUCCAGGCCAGAUGAUGAAGGAUGUGGGCCUUGAUACUCAAGAGCUGAGAGGCUCUUCUUGGUGUAAGAGCAGGGACAGUCACGUGUGUUCUCUGAACGAGUGUCUGACACUGAGGUGGACUGGGGAGAGUUCCCUGAGCACUUGUCCUCUGAUGCAGUCCUCUGGUCACACGGAUCUCAGGGCUCUUGUUCUCUGCCUCAGCAAAGCACCUCUGGUGUUAAGUUUUCACUUCAUUUGCAAAAUUAAUUAUCUAUGAACUAAAAAGAGACAAUAAGGUUUUAUUUGUGUAUGUUUUGUUGGUGUUUUAAAAAAUUUUUGGUCCAUUUUUCCUUACUAUUAGCUCUUUCAAAUAAGGAAAUUCACAGUCAUUUUCCCUAGUGCUAUUCAUACCCACUUACUUUGUUGACUAUUUUGUUUAUUGGAUUUGUUAUUUAAAAUGUGUUUCCUUAUGGUUCUCUCUUUAAUUUUCUCUUCUUUAUCAGGGCUGCAUGAAAGUAACCUGAGUCCCAAAGCUAUUCUAUCCUAAAUUCUGGUAUUUUAUAUAUAUAAAACUUCAGGGCUGAUGGCACCUAUACCUGGGAUUAUUUAUGGGUUUUCAUAAAAAAGAAAGAGGAAAAUACAGAAUUGCCUGGCUCCUCUUUUCCUUCCCCACUUCCCAACCCCCUCCCCACAGACGAGUUUAAUGUUAAAUGAUAAAUGUGGAAAUUAGAGACCGUCAAGAAAAUCCAAUUUGGUGAGGAGUUUUAAAAAUCCCAUAAUAAACGCCGAGUGAAAUGUAUGAUUUAAUGCGGGGCGCCAAUGGCUGCUAUUAUGUGCUAUUAGCAAAUCGGGGUUGAGAGUGAAUCUUUAUCACGGGCGCGCGGGCCGGGGCUGCCUCUGCUGCCGCUAUUGAUUUGUAGCCGCUUGUCAUAAUGACAUGGGGAAGCAAUGAAUGGAAGAUGUGCUUUUGAUAGGAUUGAAGGGGUGCAAAGGGGGGAGAAAAAAUUCAGCAAGUUUUCUAUCUCUUCUGCCUGAUUAGAUUUUUUUCUUCUUUUAAGAGCUUUCACAUUCCAAUAAAAAUGCUAAAUCAGCUCUGAAGCAGAAUUGUUAGGGAGUAAAUAGCCAGUCACAUUUAAAGGAGGAAAAGAUCUGACUUUACAGCUCUGGCUUCACAGCAGCCGAUGAGUCUAAAGAAUAUUUCUGGCUCCACAGAAAUUACAGGAGUGGGUGGUGUGAGGGUGGCUGGGACCUGAUCAGAGGACCUGCAGGCAGUAGGCAUCAACAUCUGUGGGAUGCAGUUUUUCAGAAUGCACAGGAAUUAAAUACCCAGUGCUGUGUGUUUAAGGAGAGGAGGGUGUAUUUUGUGACCUCUGAAACAAAAAUGACUGCAAUGAAAAAAAAAUAUAUAAGCCUUUGCCUUAUAGUAACAAACAAUAAAGGUCUCCUCUGCAUCUAGAAAGAAGAUUUUUGUCAUUUUAAUUACAGGUGUUCCUUGUCAGAAACCCGACCCAGGUUUAUAUGGGAAGGAGUGCAACCCCUGUGCUGUUUGGAGAAAGCAGUGUGACUGUCUUGGGGGCUUUCCUGUGAGUCAGGCUCUUAGGAACCAAGAACAGGCUCCUGCCCAGCCCUGGCUCUGGUGCACACAGGGAAUGAGACAAAAGCCAGGUGUGCUCAGGAGUGGAUCUGGAGGUGGGUCAGUGUGUGACUUUGCCUUUCUGAUUAGUAGAUCCACGUGCUUUUAACUUCUUGUCUUCCAAACAUUUUGCCUGCCCUGGGAAGGUGGGACUUGCUUCACCCCAAGGAGCAGAGCUCCACUUUGAGCUCCUUUGCAUCAAAGUCUGCACAUCUUCUCUCAUUACCACUAUGAUUAUUAUUGUUCUUGUUAUUAUUAUUACUCUGGUUGGCCAGGCUGAAGAGCUGUGGGCUGAGUAAGGUUUGAAACUCUGAUAUUUGGGCCCUCCCUUUUGGCCUGACCAGCCUCAGCUGCUCUUACUUACAGAAACCCUCAAAGAGCAGCUGAGAGAAUGUGGUUUCCAGGGCUCACUCUCAGAGUAUGAAAUAGCAGAUUAGAAAUCAAUGCAAAGAGUCCAAGUGCUCACUUCAUCACUCAGGAGAAAGAAAUACAGUAUUCCUGGUCUGAGCUGUGUGCUCAUUAAAAUCACAUCCUUUAAAACACCCUUUGAAUUAAACAGUGAUCAGAGGAGACAGGUGGAUUUCAUGCCAGAGGCAGGCAGGCUGAUGGCAGGUCUGACGUGGUGAUCACCUCAGCUCCCACAGGUCUGACUGGGCUCUCCAGGUGUGCACAGCUCAUGUCCUGCAAGUGGCUGCACAUCUGCUGCAGGAAUUCUGUGCAAACCCUUGAUGUGUCAAAUGCUGCUUUUUGUGGCAGACAAAACAGCACAGAUUAGCACCUGACCUGUUCCUUCUCAAGUGCACUGAUUAUGAACCACACAGGGUUGGACACUUUAGGAAUCCAUCAAGCCAUUCCAGCACACUCAUACAAACAGAAAGGAUUAUUUCUACAGGAGUGAAUGAACAAUGAACCAGUGGGAACCCUUUGCUAAGGGAAAGUGCUAUUUUGGGUCAGUCUUGUGUGGGUUUUGAUAAGAAGGUAACAACUUGAUUCUCUACAUUUAUUUAUGAAGGUGAAUGUAGGCUGGGAAUCAACUUUGGGAAGCUUUUGGUGCUAAUGCGAUAUUGCUUCUAGAAUGGUUGCUCAUACUUCUGAACAGAUGAGUCAGCAAAAGUAGAGGCAGUGUUCCAGCUCUAGUUUGUCCUGGCUUUUGGGUCCUAGGUACAAAUUCUAUGAUAACAGCAGAGGAGGCUGAUAUGAC